rnacentral:tRNA from 1 species
GCGGGUGUAGCCUUAGAGGUCGGGCCCUUGCCUUCCAAGCAAGUACACGCGGGUUCGAAUCCCGCUGUCCGCU